UGUAAACCGCUGUCAGAGGGGAUGAAGUAUACGAGAGCUAUCUCUUGUAUUUGACAGAGCCUCAGAGGAAGCACGGGCUAAGUUCGUGCCAGCAGCCGCGGUAAUACGAACUGUGCGAACGUUAUUCGGAAUCACUGGGCUUAAAGGGUGCGUAGGCGGUUAUCUAAGUCACGUGUGAAAUCUUCCGGCUCAACCGGAAAACUGCGCGUGAUACUGGAUAACUUGAGUGAGGUAGGGGUAUGUGGAACUUCCGGUGGAGCGGUGAAAUGUGUAGAGAUCGGAAGGAACGCCAGCAGCGAAAGCGGCAUACUGGGCCUUUUCUGACGCUGAGGCACGAAAGCUAGGGGAGUGAACGGGAUUAGAUACCCCGGUAAUCCUAGCCGUAAACACUGAACACUGGAGGAAGGGGGUUUCGGCCUUCUUUCUCGUAGCGAAAGCGUUAAGUGUUCCGCCUGGGGAGUAUGGUCGCAAGGCUGAAACUCAAAGGAAUUGACGGGGGCUCACACAAGCGGUGGAG
rnacentral:rRNA from 1 species